rnacentral:rRNA from 1 species
UGGGGAAUUUUGGACAAUGGGCGAAAGCCUGAUCCAGCAAUGCCGCGUGUGUGAAGAAGGCCCUCGGGUUGUAAAGCACUUUUGUCCGGAAAGAAAUCCUUGGCUCUAAUACAGUCGGGGGAUGACGGUACCGGAAGAAUAAGCACCGGCUAACUACGUGCCAGCAGCCGCGGUAAUACGUAGGGUGCAAGCGUUAAUCGGAAUUACUGGGCGUAAAGCGUGCGCAGGCGGUUUGCUAAGACCGAUGUGAAAUCCCCGGGCUCAACCUGGGAACUGCAUUGGUGACUGGCAGGCUAGAGUAUGGCAGAGGGGGGUAGAAUUCCACGUGUAGCAGUGAAAUGCGUAGAGAUGUGGAGGAAUACCGAUGGCGAAGGCAGCCCCCUGGGCCAAUACUGACGCUCAUGCACGAAAGCGUGGGGGAGCAAACAGGAUUAGAUACCCUGGUAGUCCACGCCCUAAACGAUGUCAACUAGUUGUUGGGGAUUCAUUUCCUUAGUAACGUAGCUAACGCGUGAAGUUGACCGCCUGGGGAGUACGGUCGCAAGAUUAAACUCAAAUGAAUUGACGGGGUCAUAGCUGUUUCCU